rnacentral:rRNA from 1 species
UAAACAUUGACAGUUAAUAACACCCACUGUCCGCCUGGGAACUACGAGCACCAGCUUAAAACCCAAAGGACUUGGCGGUGCUUUAGACCCACCUAGAGGAGCCUGUUCUAGAACCGAUAAUCCCCGUUAAACCUCACCCUUCCUUGUCAUUUCCGCCUAUAUACCACCGUCGUCAGCUUACCCUGUGAAGGCCCAAUAGUAAGCGCAAUCGGCAAUGCCCAAAACGUCAGGUCGAGGUGUAGCGAAUGGAAGGGGAAGAAAUGGGCUACAUUUACUAACACAGUAAAUACGGAUGAUUACCCUGCAACGAGUAUCUGAAGGAGGAUUUAGCAGUAAGCAAAAAGCAGAGUGUUUUGCUGAAAUUGGC